rnacentral:lncRNA from 1 species
GAGAACCGAGAGGCGCCUCCUAGGAGGCGGGUGGGCAAACGGAGACCUACGCCUCGGGGUCUCCCGGUGCCCCGGCUGGGUCCCGCCCGCCGGCGGAGGGGCGCGUCCUCACUCACCGGUUCCGGUGGCGCCGCUCUCCCGGGGCGCCCAGCACAGCGCGAGCAGCAGCCAGAGCGCCCAGAGCGCGGACGUGCCCAUGGUGCCCGCCUGGAUGGUGCCGCCGCCGCCGCCGCCGCCGCCGUUCGCUCCGCACGACAAGUUACCAGUCCUUCCGAAAGGAGGAAGAAGGUGGGGGCGGGGAGGGGAAAGGGGGAGAAGGAGGGGAAGGAGUUGGCGGGGGAAGGGAGCGGGGAAGAAGAGGGCACCCCCUCCCCUACAACUUGCACAGUCUCCUCCCCACCCACCCAGCCACCUCCCCGGGCUGCAGCAGCAGUGCAAGCCGAGCCUGCGGGCAGAAAAUAAUGCAGGCGCUGCAGAGGAGGGGAGGCAAGGGGAGAGGAGGGAAGGGAGAGGGGGUGGGGAGCCGAGAGCAGAAGAGAGCACAGAACGGAGAGGAGCCGGUAGCGGAGCACCCGCACCGGCGGCGGCCGGAGAGCGGGGUGAGCAGCGGGGAGGGGGCCGGAGGGGGCGUGGUCAACGGGAGGCGCGGCGGGCGGGCGGGAGCGCGGCGGCUUCGGCCCUCCUUUCCCUCGACGCGCUCCUCUUGCACGCGCCGGGCAGCCGGGUGCCCGCGCGGGGAGCGUGCGAGUGUGAGCGUGCGUGAGUGACCGCGGUCGUGGUCGUGGCUGCCGCCGCCGCCACCCGGACCGCUCUAGGGGCCCGGCUGCUCCGCGCGUUCGCCUGGGGCUCACGGGGGCCCGGGGCGACCGCUGGUUGGCUCGCGCGCCGCCCUCGCCUCCAAUCCCGGGUGCCUGUCCUAAUUUCCUGAUCCAGGGAACCUGCCGCCGCAGCGGCUGUGCGCUCCCUACAGUCAUUACUGUACCCUCCCGGCAGCCUCCGGCAGAACACGCAGCAGCAGCAGCAGUUAGCGCUGAUGCAACUAUCGUUGCUGUUGCCACCGCCUCCCCACUGACGGGGCGUGCACCUGGGGGGUACUUGCAGUUUCCAGGGGCAACAAGCAUCUCUCUACCACCCUCUCCUGCGCCCCUGAGAGAGGCUGGCUCCAAGCUUGAUAUAGAAGACUAUCAUAUGAACCAGAAAGGGUAACUGAAACCAAAGAAAUGACUCCAGUAUCAAGCUAAAGACAUGCCUUAAAGGAUGAGGAGGAGCAGAAAUCUUACCAGCAAGGCAAGAAAGAAGCCGUACGUGAACAGCCUCUGCUUUAGGCCCAGAAGGAAAAGAAGCUUACAGGAGACAAUCAGUCUUACACUCUUCCAUGGUCACAAACAAGAGGUCCCUGGAUCUACAGAAAUGAAAGAACCAGAGCAUUAUAGCAGAACGAAUCCUGGAAUGGGAAUGGAAUGCCUGGAUUUGUGGCACAGUUGGGAAGCGUCCUGGCCAUGCCAUGUUAAAGCUGUCUCCAAGGCAGUGAUUCUUACCCUUGGCUACACAUUGGAGUCAUUUGGGAAGCUAGAAAAAAAAAAUGCCCAGGACCUGGGCAAGACGGCUGAAUAAGAACAGCUCUGGUCUGCAGUUCCUAGCAAGAUCAACGCAGAAGGGAAGCUGGCAGCCUGGGCUCUUGGAGAUUGUAUCUGGUGCCGGAGAGGACUGGCUCCCACACUCAGUGAGGGAGGAAUUUUACUGACCCAGCAUCCAGAUGAACUUUGGUGAGGAGAGGAGGACAUAAGAGCCUGGUGGUUGAUGAUGGAAGAGAUGAAACUGUGAAGAGACCGAAGAAGCUAAUCUAUCAAUAGUUAAGAUUCCAUUUCUAAAAGAUCUUACUUUGAGUCUACCUAUGCCUGGGAUGUCAAGAGGUGCUGAGGAUUGAUUGGUGAAGACAGAGAGGGUCUUGGUUCUAACUGAGCUCACAUUCUAAAAGAGAAAAUAGAAAAUAAACACGAAAAACGAAUGGGAUCACUUCAGAAAUUGAAAAGGUCUAUAAGAAAAACAAAACAGGGUGUGUGAUAGAGGGUUGGGGAGGCUGUGACCAUGGAAGGCCUAAGAAAGUGAUAUUUGAAAUGAAACUUGAGUUGCAGAAGGGAGCCAGCUGUGCAAGGCUGAGGACCAAAUAUUUCAGGAGGGAACGGCCAAGGCAGAAAUGAGCAUGGCCUGCUGGAGACCGAGAAUGAACUGUUAGUGGGUUCCCACUGCACAGGGCCUGGGGAGGCUACCCAUGCUCAUCUCAUGGUAAUGUGCCAGCAACUCAGCCUACUGGCAUCAUGAUGAAUCUCCGGGCUGCUAACUGGGCUUCAUGUUGCAUAGGUGAACUGUCCCGCCACCUGCUUGAGGCUGGCAGAGCCCAGGGGGUGAG